GAGUCGACCCCUAAGGCGAGGCCGAAAGGCGUAGUCGAUGGGAAACAGGUUAAUAUUCCUGUACUUGGUGUUACUGCGAAGGGGGGACGGAGAAGGCUAUGUUGGCCGGGCGACGGUUGUCCCGGUUUAAGCGUGUAGGCUGGUUUUCCAGGCAAAUCCGGAAAAUCAAGGCUGAGGCGUGAUGACGAGGCACUACGGUGCUGAAGCGACAAAUGCCCUGCUUCCAGGAAAAGCCUCUAAGCAUCAGGUAACAUCAAAUCGUACCCCAAACCGACACAGGUGGUCAGGUAGAGAAUACCAAGGCGCUUGAGAGAACUCGGGUGAAGGAACUAGGCAAAAUGGUGCCGUAACUUCGGGAGAAGGCACGCUGAUAUGUAGGUGAAGCGACUUGCUCGUGGAGCUGAAAUCAGUCGAAGAUACCAGCUGGCUGCAACUGUUUAUUAAAAACACAGCACUGUGCAAACACGAAAGUGGACGUAUACGGUGUGACGCCUGCCCGGUGCCGGAAGGUUAAUUGAUGGGGUUAGCGGUAACGCGAAGCUCUUGAUCGAAGCCCCGGUAAACGGCGGCCGUAACUAUAACGGUCCUAAGGUAGCGAAAUUCCUUGUCGGGUAAGUUCCGACCUGCACGAAUGGCGUAAUGAUGGCCAGGCUGUCUCCACCCGAGACUCAGUGAAAUUGAACUCGCUGUGAAGAUGCAGUGUACCCGCGGCAAGACGGAAAGACCCCGUGAACCUUUACUAUAGCUUGACACUGAACAUUGAGCCUUGAUGUGUAGGAUAGGUGGGAGGCUUUGAAGUGUGGACGCCAGUCUGCAUGGAGCCGACCUUGAAAUACCACCCUUUAAUGUUUGAUGUUCUAACGUGGGCCCCUUACCGGGGUUGCGGACAGUGUCUGGUGGGUAGUUUGACUGGGGCGGUCUCCUCCUAAAGAGUAACGGAGGAGCACGAAGGUUGGCUAAUCCUGGUCGGACAUCAGGAGGUUAGUGCAAUGGCAUAAGCCAGCUUGACUGCGAGCGUGACGGCGCGAGCAGGUGCGAAAGCAGGUCAUAGUGAUCCGGUGGUUCUGAAUGGAAGGGCCAUCGCUCAACGGAUAAAAGGUACUCCGGGGAUAACAGGCUGAUACCGCCCAAGAGUUCAUAUCGACGGCGGUGUUUGGCACCUCGAUGUCGGCUCAUCACAUCCUGGGGCUGAAGUAGGUCCCAAGGGUAUGGCUGUUCGCCAUUUAAAGUGGUACGCGAGCUGGGUUUAGAACGUCGUGAGACAGUUCGGUCCCUAUCUGCCGUGGGCGCUGGAGAACUGAGGGGGGCUGCUCCUAGUACGAGAGGACCGGAGUGGACGCAUCACUGGUGUUCGGGUUGUCAUGCCAAUGGCACUGCCCGGUAGCUAAAUGCGGAAGAGAUAAGUGCUGAAAGCAUCUAAGCACGAAACUUGCCCCGAGAUGAGUUCUCCCUGACUCCUUGAGAGUCCUGAAGGAACGUUGAAGACGACGACGUUGAUAGGCCGGGUGUGUAAGCGCAGCGAUGCGUUGAGCUAACCGGUACUAAUGAACCGUGAGGCUUAACCUU
rnacentral:rRNA from 1 species